AUACGGAGGGUGCAAGCGUUGUCCGGAUUUAUUGGGUUUAAAGGGUGUGUAGGCGGUGUAUUAAGUCAGUGGUGAAAGCCUGCGGCUCAACCGUAGAACUGCCAUUGAUACUGACACACUUGAGUAUGGACGAGGUAGGCGGAAUUUAUGGUGUAGCGGUGAAAUGCAUAGAUACCAUAAAGAACACCGAUAGCGAAGGCAGCUUACUAGGCCAUAUCUGACGCUGAGGCACGAAAGCGUGGGGAGCGAACAGGAUUAGAAACCCUAGUAGUCC
rnacentral:rRNA from 1 species